rnacentral:rRNA from 1 species
UACGAGUGCCCCAAGCGUUAUCCGGAAUCAUUGGGCGUAAAGGGUGUGUAGGUGGUUGUGUUAGUCUUUUGUUAAAUUCUUCGGCUUAACCGGGGGCAUGCAAAGGAAACGGCACAACUAGAGGAUGCGAGAGGUGAAUGGAACUCAUGGAGUAGGGGUGAAAUCCGUUGAUAUCAUGGGGAACACCAAAGCGAAGGCAAUUCACUGGCGCACUCCUGACACUGAGACACGAAAGCGUAGGUAGCGAAAUGGG